CCCCUCUCAGGAUCACACCUGGAGAGUUUCCAGUUCUCUACCAGUUUCGGCUAUGGGAGGGAGAGUCAAGCAGAGGCAUACCCAUUCCAUUCUUAGCUUGGCCAGUGGCUAGCAGGUGGAAGGCAAUCUGCUGCAAGU
rnacentral:snoRNA from 1 species